CAUUCUCUCUCCUCUCAGUGGAAGUUACUGCGCUGUAAAAAAGAGCUCUCUUUUUCUCUCUCUAAAAAAUUCUCACCGGAAAACUCAUCGGAAAAUCUCGCGAAAACAUAGCGAAAAAGGGCCUGAAAAUCGUGGAAAUUGGUCGAGAGUGUGUCCUGGUCAAAGACUCCUGUUAGUUCGAGAUUGUUGGGAGUCGAAGUGUAUUGUUUCCGAGUGGUCGAGAGUGUGUACUGUUUAAGGUGUAAGAUCCGUUUUGAACAAAAUUCGUAGGUGUUGAAGGUGUUCAACGAAGCAAUUGUUGUGCCAUGUCAGGUGGUAGAAGGGGUGAGAGCGGUGGCCGAAGGGGUGGAAGAAGAGGUGGACGUGCGUGAGGUGGUGUAGUCGAAAAGGAUGUAGAAGAAAUACAUGAUCUUCCCUGAUCUUGAAGAUGAUUCUGGUGGAAGGAACUUGCAAAAGGACAAUACACUUAGUAAGAGGGCUAAGACUAAGCAAUUGGGUAAAGUGAUUGAAAGAUGCAAGAAGGAGCUGUAAAGGGUUAAAAAGCCUUGACAACUAUUAAUAUAUGUUUCAGUUUGACAUGUUUUAUGGGGUGCAGAUGAUUUUCUGUUAUAUUUUGAACAUAGGCAUACUGUGUUAGUGUGUUUUCAUUGUUAAUAGAAACUAUAAUAGAAAAAAACUCUCUAUUUUUGUUGCCUUAGUUUGGGCCGCAUGGCACUGCAGGAACAAGGAGUGUUUUGAGACUAAUGCUGGGGUUAGUGUAGUUUCUACGGCUACGGGUUUUGUUAAUUUGUGCUUUGAUUAUUUCGCUUAUAAUGCUAAGGUCAGUAUGCGAGCUAAUGGGGCUAUGUUUUGAGACUAAUGCUGGGGUUAGUUUUGCUGCGGUUAUAUGGAUGCUCAUGUGUGUGACGGGUAAUGGGGUAAGCUUAGGUGCUGUGAUUAGUCUUCUGAGAUGGCUGAAGCUGAUGCCGCUGCCUAUGGAGUUCGCCUUGCUAGCAGGUGGGGCUUUGUGGAUGUUAAAUUGGAGUGUGAUGCUGCAAAUGUUGUAAGAGCAAUUCAAGGCAAACAGGAUGGGGCUGCUCCAACUUUUCUGUUCAUAUUUGUAUUUUGUUAAACUAGUAGUAUGUUUAACUCUUUUAAGUGUAUGCACGUUAAGCAGGGGGUAAUGUAUUUGCUCAUUGCGUUGCUCGGUGGUAAACCACUUAUAAUGUGGAACACAUUUAUAUGAACAA